ACGGAGGGUGCAAGCGUUAUUCGGAAUUACUGGGCGUAAAGCGCGUGUAGGCGGUCCUGCAAGUCUGAUGUGAAAGCCCCGGGCUUAACCCGGGAAGUGCAUUGGAAACUGCAGGUCUUGAGUACUGGAGAGGAUGGGGGAAUUCUCGGUGGAGAGGUUAAAUUCGUAGAGAUCGGGAGGAAUAUCAGUGGCGAAGGCGCCCAUCUUGACGGUAACUUACGCUGAGACGCGAAAGCGUUGGGAGCAAACAG
rnacentral:rRNA from 1 species